AGAGUUCGAUUAUGGCUCAGGAUGAACGCUAGCGACAGGCCUAACACAUGCAAGUCGAGGGGCAGCAUGGUGUCAGCUUGCUGAUACCGAUGGCGACCGGCGCACGGGUGAGUAACGCGUAUGUAAUCUACCUGUAACAGAGGGAUAACCCGGAGAAAUCCGGACUAAUACCUCAUAGUACAUAUUAUUCGCAUGAGUUUUAUGUUAAAGAGAUUCGGUUACAGAUGAACAUGCGUUCCAUUAGCUAGUUGGCGGGGUUACGGCCCACCAAGGCAACGAUGGAUAGGGGUUCUGAGAGGAAGGUCCCCCACACUGGUACUGAGACACGGACCAG
rnacentral:rRNA from 1 species